UAUUCCUAAAAAAAAUAGUAGUAUAUUUGUGAGCAGAUAGUAGUAUAUUUUUGUGGAAAAAAAAAGUUUAAUAAUUGUGGAAAAAUAGUAAAAUAUUUGUGAGCAAAUGGUAGUAUAUUUUUGUGUGGGGGGAAAAAGUUAAAUAAUUGUGAGAAAUAGUGAAAGGCAAGUAGUACUAUAUAUUUGUGAAAAAAGUUGAAUAUUUGGGAGAAAAUAAAAAAGUAGAAUAUUUGGGAGAAAAUAGAAUAUUUGUGAAAAAGGUAGAAUAUUUGUGAAGUUAUGACUCAAACACGCAGGUAAGAAGCUGAUUGGAUGGACAAGAGGACAAGGGGCGGGGCUAGACAUAGUAAGGUGACAAAAACAAUGAGGUGAUGACGAUGAAGUGGACAAAGGAGGAAGGUCCUUACUGUCUAUAUCCACCUGGCACUCCCCAGGGUUCUGGAUGUGGUUCUCCUCCGUCAUGAUGAUGUUCUCGAUGUCCUUCAUGGUCAGGUGGUCACAGAAGGUGUCGUAGAGAAGACGCUUCAGCUCCUCCACUGUCAGCUUCUGCAUGUCACACUGUCAACAACACAGACACGUCCUUGUGCAACUCCAUCUUUUCUGUGACGCUGGACUAUGCUCCCUUGACGCUCGCUGUCCUACCUUCCAGAAAACCGAGUCAAAGUCGGUGCCGUUGAACUUGUCUGGUAUCCCGGCCGCCGUCAGCUUGGGACCCAGAAGUGUGACAAACUCCUCAAAGUCCACCUGCCCGUCACCUGAGGGACACCAAGGAACCGCUAAGGCAUGUAGCCCAGGGAGCGCAUGGCCAUGCCCAACUCCUGCUUGGAGAUGAAGCCAUUACCGUCACGGUCAAACACUUUGAAGGCCUCGCGGAUCUCUGUUGGUGGUCUCAGGCAGCCACGACACACCUGGGGCUACACAUCUCCUGAACCCCAACGUUCUGAUCGCUUGGCCACGCCCCCUUCCUGCUACGCUGGAAAUAACAAAGAUGCGCUUGAAAGCACCAUGACUUCCGUAUUGUAGAUUCACGGUUGGCCCUUUCUAACGUACAAGGUAAAGUCCAAAUAGUUUCAACCACAAGGUGAGGCGGCAGUGCUGCCCUCUGCGCCGCCCACUAUGUAACCCAGUGGUAGUAAUGGUGUGUGGACGGUUACGCAACACUCCAACUUAGCAGGCGGGGAAAACUGGGCUUUAACGACCACGGUUCUCAUGGUGGAAACUAAAGCCUUUGGCUUUCAGGAGCUCUGAGGUGAAGGUGAUCCAGGCUUUCUUCUCAGACGUCUCAUCGCUCUUUAUGUAAGACCUUAUCAGUAUGAGAGAAACUAUUUUUAAACA